GAUGAACGCUAGCUACAGGCUUAACACAUGCAAGUCGAGGGGAAACGAUAUUGGAAGCUUGCUUCUGAUAGGCGUCGACCGGCGCACGGGUGAGUAACGCGUAUCCAACCUGCCCAUCACUUGGGGAUAACCUUGUGAAAGUAAGACUAAUACCCAAUGACGUCUCUAGAAGACAUCUGAAAGAGAUUAAAGAUUUAUCGGUGAUGGAUGGGGAUGCGUCUGAUUAGCUUGUUGGCGGGGUAAACGGCCCACCAAGGCGACGAUCAGUAGGGGUUCUGAGAGGAAGGUCCCCCACAUUGGAACUGAGACACGGUCCAAAACUCCUACGGGAGGCAGCAGUGAGGAAUAUUGGUCAAUGGACGAGAGUCUGAACCAGCCAAGUAGCGUGCAGGAUGACGGCCCUAUGGGUUGUAAACUGCUUUUAUAAGGGAAUAAAAGUGGGAGUCGUGACUCUUUUUGCAUGUACCUUAUGAAUAAGGACCGGCUAAUUCCGUGCCAGCAG
rnacentral:rRNA from 1 species